rnacentral:rRNA from 1 species
AAAUUGAAGAGUUUGAUCAUGGCUCAGAUUGAACGCUGGCGGCAGGCCUAACACAUGCAAGUCGAACGGUAACAGGAAGCAGCUUGCUGUUUUGCUGACGAGUGGCGGACGGGUGAGUAAUGUCUGGGAAACUGCCUGAUGGAGGGGGAUAACUACUGGAAACGGUGGCUAAUACCGCAUAACGUCGCAAGACCAAAGAGGGGGACCUUCGGGCCUCUUGCCAUCAGAUGUGCCCAGAUGGGAUUAGCUUGUUGGUGAGGUAACGGCUCACCAAGGCGACGAUCCCUAGCUGGUCUGAGAGGAUGACCAGCCACACUGGAACUGAGACACGGUCCAGACUCCUACGGGAGGCAGCAGUGGGGAAUAUUGCACAAUGGG